ACUCCUACGGGAGGCAGCAGUGGGAAUAUUGCACAAUGGGGGAAACCCUGAUGCAGCAACGCCGCGUGAGCGAUGAAGGCCUUCGGGUCGUAAAGCUCUGUCCUAAGGGAAGAUAAUGACGGUACCUUAGGAGGAAGCCCCGGCUAACUACGUGCCAGCAGCCGCGGUAAUACGUAGGGGCAAGCGUUAUCCGGAAUUACUGGGCGUAAAGGGUGCGUAGGCGGCCCUUCAAGUCAGAGGUGAAAGGCUACGGCUCAACCGUAGUAAGCCUUUGAAACUGUAGGGCUUGAGUGCAGGAGAGGAGAGUAGAAUUCCUAGUGUAGCGGUGAAAUGCGUAGAUAUUAGGAGGAAUACCAGUUGCGAAGGCGGCUCUCUGGACUGUAACUGACGCUGAGGCACGAAAGCGUGGGGAGCGAACAGGAUUAGAUACCCU
rnacentral:rRNA from 1 species